rnacentral:rRNA from 1 species
GAGACCCACGCCAACAGUUGCCAGCAUGUCCUCCGGGAUGGUGGGGACACUGUUGGGACCGCCUCUGCUAAAGAGGAGGAAGGAAUGGGCAACGGUAGGUCAGCAUGCCCCGAAUUAUCCGGGCUACACGCGGGCUACAAUGGUCAGGACAAUGGGUAUCGACACCGAGAGGUGAAGGCAAUCUCUUAAACCUGUCUUUAGUUCGGAUUGUGGGCUGCAACUCGCCCACAUGAAGCUGGAAUCCGUAGUAAUCGCGUCUCAAAAUGGCGCGGUGAAUAU